CCUACGGGAGGCAGCAGUGGGGAAUAUUGGACAAUGGGGGGAACCCUGAUCCAGCCAUGCCGCGUGUGUGAAGAAGGCCCUCGGGUUGUAAAGCACUUUCAGUGGGGAAGAACGCCUGGUGGUUAAUACCCAUCAGGAAAGACAUCACUCACAGAAGAAGCACCGGCUAACUCCGUGCCAGCAGCCGCGGUAAUACGGAGGGUGCGAGCGUUAAUCGGAAUUACUGGGCGUAAAGCGCGCGUAGGUGGCUUGAUAAGCCGGUUGUGAAAGCCCCGGGCUCAACCUGGGAACGGCAUCCGGAACUGUCAAGCUAGAGUGCAGGAGAGGAAGGUAGAAUUCCCGGUGUAGCGGUGAAAUGCGUAGAGAUCGGGAGGAAUACCAGUGGCGAAGGCGGCCUUCUGGACUGACACUGACACUGAGGUGCGAAAGCGUGGGUAGCAAACAGGAUUAGAUACCCUGGUAGUC
rnacentral:rRNA from 1 species